UCUUUUCUUUCUCUCCCCCCUCUCUCUAUCUCUCUCUCUCUCUCAGUCGAGGAUCGGUGGAUGAAUCGGAGCCUUGGUGGCCUUCUGAGCGUGCCAACGGCCCGUCUAUGGCCACCAUUGGCGUCUCCUCUGGUCGCACUCUCUCCCCCUCCCCUUUCUCUCUCCCCUUCCCUACCUCUCUCCUCUUUCUCUUUUUUCCUUCUUUUGGUUCGCUUCUUUUCCUCUGUGUCGGUUUGCACUGAUCCAGUCUGGUACAAAUUCGUACUUAUUAAUACCAUUGGUCGAUCAGUAUAGAUUCUGAUACCGAGUCUGUGAACUUUGCUCUCGAGCAUCGUGAGUACUCUAGGGACUUUAGGAUACUUGAUGCCAUAGCAUCCAUUUGGACACCUACAUAUUGGGAGACAAGAUAUAUUUCACCGUUCUGGUAAGGUUUCUUCCUUCAGACAUUUCCCAUAGAAGGCUCAAAGGCGAAUAUAUAUUUGGACAGAUCAUGUCAUCCUAGUGAUAUCGAGAGGGUCUAGCUUUCUCUCUUCUCUCGACACUAUGGAGACCACUCUUUGGGUACAACCUCAUCAAACGGAAGUUCUUCCAAUUCUGCAGCCAGAUUGCUUUCUUCACAGAUAUGAACAACUUGCAAGCAAGAUAGGUUACUUGAUCUACAUUGAAUUUCCUAAACAAAAGCUUUAGAGUCCAGGUCCAUUAC
rnacentral:lncRNA from 1 species